rnacentral:rRNA from 1 species
UACGAAGGGGGCUAGCGUUGCUCGGAAUCACUGGGCGUAAAGCGCACGUAGGCGGCUUUCUAAGUCAGGGGUGAAAUCCUGGAGCUCAACUCCAGAACUGCCUUUGAUACUGGAGAGCUUGAGUCCGGAAGAGGUGAGUGGAACUCCGAGUGUAGAGGUGAAAUGCGCAGAUAUCGGGAAGAACACCCGUGGCGAAGGCGGUUCUCUGGGACGGUACUGACGCUGAGACGCGAAAGCGUGGGGAGCGAACAG